ACCUCCCUUGGAAUCCCAUAAAAUAUAUUCCAUUUUAUGGUGGUGCAGAAUACCAUGAUUACCAUCAUUAUGUUGGAGGACAAAGCCAGAGCAACUUUGCAUCCGUGUUCACCUACUGUGAUUACAUCUAUGAAACUGAUAAGGGCUACCGGUAUCAAAAGAGGCUCCUCAAGCAGGUAAACACUGCAGUCUUUUGUCUUUUUAUUUGUGUUAGAGUUUUGCUUGGCAACUUGUUUAAGUUUCCCUCCACAUCUUUCCUUAGAAAGUGUUGGUGCUCCGUCCAACAUUUUAUCUCAGUGAGAUGUUGAUUGAGGUGGAGUUCGACUACUGCUUUUUUAGUUGAUUUUUGCUUUUUUAGAAUCUAAAAACGCUGAUGCGUUUGUUAUGCAAAAAGUUUUGAAGUUCUUUUCAAAGUUUUGCUUUUUGAUGUGAAUUUGCCAAGUUACCCUUAUGGUGUUGUGGAAUUUCACAAAUUGUUGAGGGUAAAAUCGUCUUUGCACAAUUUUGUUGAGCUUUCCAAA